UCGAUUAGCUCAUUCGUUCCCACGCGAUUCGCGAGUAUGCUAGGAUUCUGCCCCGUCGCCGCCGCCGGGGUCGAGAACAUCGCGCGCCGGCGACGGAACAUGAUGCCGCAGCCCCCAAGGCACAUACACGGGUCCGCUACUGCGUGCGAGCGCGGCUGCAGCUCUCGAGCACGCGAGCGGGGGAAUACGCAGGCGAGCGCACCAGCUGGUGCCUCCUUCCUGCUUGUUGGCCGGCCGUGGGCGACCAGCGGCAUCGGCUUGCUCAUCAAAAUUGUAUCCCGAGCACCUGCCGGCGACAAAUUCGCCGCCCAAGACCUGCGUGGCUCCGCAUUGGCAGCCUUGCCGCGUGCGAUUCCGGCGUCUCGCCCAGCCUAGCCGGCAUUCACCUCCACCUCCGGGGAGAGGAGUCUGAGGGGUACCGUCCCGCCCCGAUUCGCCUGCAUCCAGUAUGUCCGAGCUCGCAAGGGGAUGGAGAGAUGAGAGGAGAGGAAGUGAGUAGGAGCAGUGGUGAUGGUGGGGUGCAGGGGUGGGUAGGGGAAGCCGUCGUUGAUGGUCACAUACUCCUCUUCGCCGCAACUUGCCCCUCUCCUUUCCGUCUUGGUUUUCAGACUUUCAUACAGGAUGCAAUCCAUCAGAUAAAAAGACCAUGAACCAGUCCACCAUCUUCCCAAUUCAUUUCCUUCUUCUUUCCAUGUCCUGGUGAAUCAAGUCUGCAAUUGAUCUGAAAAAAAGUUCACCAGCCCAUUCUCCUCAGAUUUAAAGUUCUGAACUCACAACAAUUUAGCAUCUCCUUUCUAUCAGUCUCACCAGGGAGGAUCGGGUGUAUUGACGGCAGAGCUAGCCGCCAUCGUUGCACAGAGGUGGUAGAAUGGAGGAACUGCAACGGUCUGGUGGUGCCCGGUUACUAUCGAGAUCUUCUGAGCGUGAACUGAUGAAGACAUAUCUAGAUGAAUUGCUUCCCUGCAUUCCAGUGGAGUUAAAGUUUGAUAAGCCGAGUUGUUCACACAUUCCGGGUGGAAGAAAAAUCCUAGAAGCCAAAUUGUGCAGCAUCAUAGGUAAAUCUGCAUAUUCUUUUGAAGCAUCUCCAGAUUCACACUAUUUUGCUCACACGAUCGUCACAUUUUUGUGUACAAAUGGCUAUUUGCACUUGCGUUCAAUAGCUAUUGUAAUUUGUUCUAUUCGACGAUAUGAUGUUCCUUAGCUAGAUUUCCUUGAAGUUAUUAUUUCUAUACAUGGAACUAAAUUCUUAGUUAUAAGUGUUGUCCUUUUUGCUCUUUUGCUAUACAAUGAUGCCAAUUUUAGGUAGGUACAGUAAACUUUCAUGCCAUUUAUCCCUUGCACUCUUAUGCUUAUUUCAAGUGUGUUUUAUGUUCCUUUGUAACAUAAUAAAAAUUUGAGUCUGGUACACAUCUGAGUUUGGUAUGCCAAGGACGACAGCCCCACUUGAUACACAUCUGAGUCUGGUAUGCCAAGGAAGAUAACUGUGUUGACAAGCCGAAGUUCGCCCCUAGAUCAGUGCCUCUCCUUGACGUCCACUUCGGUGAAAUCCAAUCAUCUUCAUCAAUUCCGGGGAAGGAGGGUCUCAGUUGAGAACGCAGUUUGGUGGAAAGGAGAAUAUUAUUUUGGGAGAAUAGUCAUGAUUUGGAUAGUUUUUGUGAAAUCCUAAAGUUUAGUUGAAGAAAAGUGUAUGUGUAGAGGUGCUUGCUGACUUGAUCGUCUUUCCAUGCACCUUGGAAGUUGUCUUCUUCGAGUGGAGGGCCACGUGACGGACGGCACCGGUCUUCCCCGCGACCUCUUCCCCGGCGACGGCAGGCGCACCCAGCAGGUGUUCGGCAGCGGGUUCGGCGUGUCCAUGGGCCAUGACGAGAUUGCCGGCGAGGAGAUCCUGAACGGCAUCAUACGGACGAAUGUGAGGAGGAUGCCCAGGAGGAGCUGAUCGAUGCCAAGACUGGCGCGAGCGUGACGAGGGCGCGCUCUCUCACCGUUGGAACUUGAUCAAGGGGUCGUGUAGCAAGUUCCACGGCUACUAUGAGAAGAUGGUGGAUUGGCUCCAAGGUUGCAAGAAAUGGGACGACCUCCUCCACACUCUCUUGAAGGACGGGGAAGAUGGACCGGUCGAUCCAGCCGGCGCCUCCACCGGGCGCCCCAUUGGCAACAAGAAGGCCAAGGCCGACAUGAAUGCGGCGGCGAUAUUGGCAGCCAUGGACGCCUCCAUCGAGAAGAUGAUCACCUCGUUCUCGGUGGAGAACAAGGAAGCUGCCGAUAGAGCUGUCGUCGUGUGGUAGGCCAUCCUCGACAAGCAAGACGCCAAGAUCGAGUUGGAGAGGGAGAGGGUGGAGGCGGCGAAGAUGGAAGCUCACGCCGCUGCCAUGAAGGCCAACAACAAAGCGACACAGCUAUCGUUGGCCAAAAUGUCUCAAGAAUCGAAAAUCUUGAUGGCCAACAUGGAGAAGAUGGACCCCUUGGCGCGGGCGUGGCACGAGAUGUACCGCGAGCGCAUCGGCCAAGAGGUGAUGGAGGCGCGAGCUGCGUCGGCGUCUCCCCCGGCACCGUCCAUGUCUACCCCGGCAUCGUCCGCAUUCAUGUCUCUCCCGGCACCGUCCGCGUUCAUGUCUACCCCGACACCGUCCGCGUUCAUGUCUCCCCUGGCACCGUCGAUGUUCAUGCCUCCCCCGGUGACCGUGGAUCCUGUUGCAGCGACAGAGCUGCCGCCGGCCGCCGAUGAGGAAGCCGUCGAGGUUGCGUCGUCCGUGACCUCCUUGUGUGAUCAUGCGAUCAUCUGGCUUGGAAUGCCCUUUUUUGCGCCGGAAACGGUGAUCUGGUGGCCGUGUGUUGGCCCAAACUUCUUAUUCCAAAACCUAUUCAUAUUUGGUGGCCGUGUGUUGGCCCAAACUUCAUAUUCGUAGACUUAUUCAAAUUUCUAUGGUUGUGUUUGAGAUUUCAAAUUCAAAUUUUCUAUUGGGGUCACCUGUUUGGGGCGCCGGUGUGGGAGCAGCUCCCCCAAAUGGAGGUUGAUGUGCCGGCGUCCCCCAACCGGAGAU